AGCGAACGCUGGCGGCAGGCCUAACACAUGCAAGUCGAACGAACUCUUCGGAGUUAGUGGCGGACGGGUGAGUAACACGUGGGAACGUGCCUUUAGGUUCGGAAUAACUCAGGGAAACUUGUGCUAAUACCGAAUGUGCCCUUCGGGGGAAAGAUUUAUCGCCUUUAGAGCGGCCCGCGUCUGAUUAGCUAGUUGGUGAGGUAACGGCUCACCAAGGCGACGCUCAGUAGCUGGUCUGAGAGGAUGACCAGCCACACUGGGACUGAGACACGGCCCAGACUCCUUCGGGAGGCAGCAGUGGGGAACCUUGCGCAAUGGGCGAAAGCCUGACGCAGCCAUGCCGCGUGAAUGAUGAAGGUCUUAGGAUUGUAAAAUUCUUUCACCCGGGACGAUAAUGACGGUACCCGGAGAAGAAGCCCCGGCUAACUUCGUGCCAGCCGCCGCCGUAAAAC
rnacentral:rRNA from 1 species